CCUACGGGAGGCAGCAGUGAGGAAUAUUGGUCAAUGGGCGCGAGCCUGAACCAGCCAAGUAGCGUGAAGGAUGACUGCCCUACGGGUUGUAAACUUCUUUUAUAAAGGAAUAAAGUGAGGCACGUGUGCCUUUUUGUCUGUACUUUAUGAAUAAGGAUCGGCUAACUCCGUGCCAGCAGCCGCGGUAAUACGGAGGAUCCGAGCGUGAUCCGGGUUUAUUGGGGUGAAAGGGAGCGUAGAUAGAUUGUUAAGUCAGAUGUGAAAGUUUGCGGCGCAACCGUAAAAUUGCAAUUGAUACUGGCAGCCUUGAGUACAGUUGAGGUAGGCGGAAUUCGUGGUGUAGCGGUGAAAUGCUUAGAUAUCACGAAGAACUCCGAUUGCGAAGGCAGCCUACUAAACUGCCACUGACAUUGAGGCUCGAAAGUGUGGGUAUCAAACAGGAUUAGAUACCCCUGUAGUC
rnacentral:rRNA from 1 species